rnacentral:rRNA from 1 species
ACGGCUCAGUAACACGUGGACAACCUACCCUCAGCACGGGGNUAAACCCGGGAAACUGGGUAUAAUACCCGAUAGUUCUGGAUUGCUGGAAUGCAUUCAGGACGAAAGCUCCGGCGACUGAGGAUGGGUCUGCGGCCUAUCAGGUAGUAGUGGGUGUAAUGUACCUACUAGCCAACAACGGGUACGGGUUGUGAGAGCAAGAGCCCGGAGAUGGAUUCUGAGACAUGAAUCCAGGCCCUACGGGGCGCAGCAGGCGCGAAAACUUUACAAUGCGGGAAACCGUGAUAAGGGGACACCGAGUGCCAGCAUCAUAUGCUGGCUGUCCAGGUGUGUAAAAUACACCUGUCAGCAAGGGCCGGGCAAGACCGGUGCCAGCCGCCGCGGUAACACCGGCGGCCCGAGUGGUGAUCGUGAUUAUUGGGUCUAAAGGGUCCGUAGCCGGUUUGGUCAGUCCUCCGGGAAAUCUGACGGCUCAACCGUUAGGCUUUCGGGGGAUACUGCCAGGCUUGGAACCGGGAGAGGUAAGAGGUACUACAGGGGUAGGAGUGAAAUCUUGUAAUCCCUGUGGGACCACCUGUGGCGAAGGCGUCUUACCAGAACGGGUUCGACGGUGAGGGACGAAAGCUGGGGGCACGAACCGGAUUAGAUACCCGGGUAGUCCCAGCCGUAAACGAUGCUCGCUAGGUGUCAGGCAUGGCGCGACCGUGUCUGGUGCCGCAGGGAAGCCGUGAAGCGAGCCACCUGGGAAGUACGGCCGCAAGGCUGAAACUUAAAGGAAUUGGCGGGGGAGCAC